UACGAAGGGGGCUAGCGUUGCUCGGAAUCACUGGGCGUAAAGCGCACGUAGGCGGGUCUUUAAGUCAGGGGUGAAAUCCUGGAGCUCAACUCCAGAACUGCCUUUGAUACUGGGGAUCUCGAGUCCGGGAGAGGUGAGUGGAACUCCGAGUGUAGAGGUGAAAUUCGUAGAUAUUCGGAAGAACACCAGUGGCGAAGGCGGCUCACUGGCCCGGUACUGACGCUGAGGUGCGAAAGCGUGGGGAGCAAACAGG
rnacentral:rRNA from 1 species